GGAACUAGGCUAAAAUUUAAUGAGCCAAUAUUGAGAAUGGUGAAGUUGAGACUAGCAAAUAAGCUUGUAUUUGCCGCUGCAAAUAAAUUGCGCACAGGGGUAAUUUUGUCAUUUUUUAAACAAUCCGAAACUUAAAAUCGAAAUUAAAAUCUAAAAUCCAAAAUUGAAAACCCAAAACUCUAAACUCUAAACUUAAAAAUCCAAAAUUUAAAAUCUGAUACUCUAACCACCUAAAUCUAAAUAAUUUGUUGUUUAUA
rnacentral:lncRNA from 1 species